rnacentral:rRNA from 1 species
AUUGAACGCUGGCGGCAGGCCUAACACAUGCAAGUCGAACGAGUGGCGGACGGGUGAGUAAUGUCUGGGAACCUGCCUGAUGGAGGGGGAUAACUACUGGAAACGGUAGCUAAUACCGCAUACUAUCGGAUGAACCCCGAUGGGAUUUGCUAGUAGGUGGGGUAAAGGCUCACCUAGGCGAAGAUCCCUAGCUGGUCCGAGAGGAUGAACAGCAAAAUGGGAAAUGAGACACGGCCCAGAUCCCGCGGGGAGGCAGCAGUGGGGAAUAUUGCACAAGGGGCGCAAGCCUGAGGCAGCCAUGCCGCGUGUAUGAAGAAGGCCUUAGGGUUGUAAAGUACUUUCAGCGGGGAGGCGUUACCCGCAGAAGAAGCACCGGCUAACUCCGUGCCAGCAGCCGCGGUAAUUC